rnacentral:rRNA from 1 species
GAUUCCCUCAGUAAUGGCGAAUGAACAGGGAUAAGCUCAGCAUGGAAAUUGGGGCCUGCGGCCUUGAAUUGUAAUCUGGAGAUGUAUUGCCAACGGAGGCGCAGAUGUAAGCCUCUUGGAAAAGAGCAUCAUCGAGGGUGAGAAUCCCGUUUGUCAUCUGCAGUCCCCCGUGCACGGCAUACCUUCUAAGAGUCACGUUCCUCGGGAUUGGAGCGCAAAGUGGGUGGUAAAUUUCAUCUAAAGCUAAAUAUUGGUUUGAGACCGAUAGCAAACAAGUACCAUGAGGGAAAGGUGAAAAGGACUUUGAAAAGAGAGUUAAAAGUGCCUGAAAUUGUUGAAAGGGAAGCGAAUGGAACCAGUGUGUCGUGGCGAGAUUGUUGCAUGCCAAUGUGAUGAUCUGCUGUUUCAGCGCAAGUGUGGCAGUAGGUUUUGAUCAGGAUGUGUGCAAUGCUUCUUGCCUUGUGUGUCAACUUCAAUUCGCAUUUGAAGAAAACUCCAAGGACAUGGUAACUUGCCUUCGGGUGUGUGAAUGUGUUUGGCUGAAUUCAUAUGUGUAUUGAUCGUUGACUAAAUGGUUCCUUUCGACCCGUCUUGAAACACGGACCAAGGAGUCUAACAUAUGUGCGAGUUCACGGGUGGGUAAACCUGCUUGCGCAAUGAAAGUGACUGCUGGGAUUCUUGCACCAGCAACCGACCAAUCAAUUGAGAGAGGUUUGAGUAUGAGCAUAUCUGUUAGGACCCGAAAGAUGGUGAACUAUGCCUGUGAAGGGCAAACUCAGGGGAAACUUCUGAUGGAGGCUCGUAGCGAUACUGACGUGCAAAUCGUUCGUCAUAACAUGGGUAU